rnacentral:lncRNA from 7 species
AGUAAUACAAAUUCAUCAUCGUACUAUCUCACACUUGACUAGGACAACAUAUCAACAAUGAGUAGACUGGAAAGUACCACGACGUCCUUGGAGUCAGAUGAGCAGGCGACACCAGUUGCUCCACUUUUCAGAUCGGUUGGAUCAACCUUUGCGUUUGCACAGAUCGCCUCUUUGUAUUUGAUUAUUUGAUUGGCUAGAUGUGCGGAACAACCUUCUUCAUACAUUUAGCAAGAAGCCGAGCAAAAGUAGGGUCAACAUUGUUGAGCUGGCCAGAUGUCUUAGAGGGUUUUGCUUCCAAGUACCUAUUUUUAGGAUGUUGUGGUCGGAUGGUUUGGGGUCACCGGUGUUUCUGGUUGCUCUAGAACCGUCCGUCCUUAGUGCCCGGACCAUCCGACGCAUGCUAGAGAGGCGAUCCGAUCAUGCUUGCCCCCCAA